rnacentral:rRNA from 1 species
ACUCCUGCGGGAGGCAGCAGUAGGGAAUCUUCGGCAAUGGGGGCAACCCUGACCGAGCAACGCCGCGUGAGUGAAGAAGGUUUUCGGAUCGUAAAGCUCUGUUGUAAGUCAAGAACGAGUGUGAGAGUGGAAAGUUCACACUGUGACGGUAGCUUACCAGAAAGGGACGGCUAACUACGUGCCAGCAGCCGCGGUAAUACGUAGGUCCCGAGCGUUGUCCGGAUUUAUUGGGCGUAAAGCGAGCGCAGGCGGUUUGAUAAGUCUGAAGUUAAAGGCUGUGGCUCAACCAUAGUUCGCUUUGGAAACUGUCAAACUUGAGUGCAGAAGGGGAGAGUGGAAUUCCAUGUGUAGCGGUGAAAUGCGUAGAUAUAUGGAGGAACACCGGUGGCGAAAGCGGCUCUCUGGUCUGUAACUGACGCUGAGGCUCGAAAGCGUGGGGAGCGAACAGGAUUAGAUACCCCGGUAGUCCCAU